CAAGGGUAAAAUUAUAAUUUCACUGAAAUUCUGAUUUGAUAGUAUCAUUUGAUAGAACAAAUGAUUUGUAAACUAUUGGUGAAAAUUUCAUUGUAUUUGGACUUAUAUUUUUGAAGUUAUGAAGGUUUGAAGUGCAUGAGUCGACUCAUGAGUCAACUCAUGGCACUGUGAGCUGAUUGGCACGCAAAAUAUUUUCAUGGCACGCUGGAUUUUUGACUUGGCACGACCUGUGAGUCGACUCAUGAGUCGACUUCUGCUGAUUUGAGCCGAAAAAUUCAGAAAUCAGACCUUCUGGUCUGUGCAACAGAAGUCGACUCAUGAGUCGACUCCUGAUGCAUGAGUCGACUCAUGAGUCGACCCCUGCGACGGAAAAUAUCAGCAACGGCUAUUUUUUU
rnacentral:lncRNA from 1 species